UGAAUCGGAGCUGUAGCCACCGGCCUACACCAGAGCCACAGCAAUGCGGGAUCCGAGCCACAUCUGCAACCUACACCACAGCUCACGGCAACGCCGGAUCCUUAACCCACUGAGCAAGGGCAGGGACCGAACCCGCAACCUCAUGGUUCCUAGUUGGAUUCGUUAACCACUGCGCCACGACGCGACGGGAACAUUAUCAAUUUUUGAAUCUUACCAAAUUUUCAAUCCCACUCUUGGGCAUAUAUCCGUACAAAACUUUCCUUAAAAAAGACACAUGCACCCGCAUGUUCAUUGCAGCUCUAUUCACAAUAGCCAAGAGCUGGAAACAACCCAAAUGUCCAUCAACAGACAAUUGGAUUAGGAAGAUGUGGUAUAUAUACACAAUGGAAUACUACCCAGCCAUAAAAAAGAACAACAUAAUGCCAUUUGCAGCAGCAUGGAUGGAACUAGAGACUCUCAUACUGAAAUAAGUCAGAAAGAGAAGGAUAAAUACCAUAUGAUAUCACUUAUAACUGGAAUCUAAUAUACAGCACAAAUGAACAUUUCCACAGAAAAGAAAGUCAUAGACUUGUGGCUGCCUGGGGGGAGAGGGAGGGAGUGGGAGGGAUGGGGAGCUUGGGGUUAAUGGAUACAAACUACUGCUCUUGGAAUGGAUUUAUAAUGAGAUCCUGCUGUGUAGUGUGUAGCAUUGAGAACCAUGUCUAGAUACUUACAUAGCAAUACAACAAUGGGAGGAAAAGGUAUAUAUACAUGUAUGUGUAAUUUGGUCCCCAUGCUGUACAGCAGAAAAAAAUUAAAUUAAUUAAUUAAUUUUAAAAAUUUUGUGGAAUCUGAUGGAUGCCGCCUCAAAAGUUAAUGCUGGUUUUUAUUCUCUGAUUAUUGGAUAGGUUAGUGACUUUUUUCCCAUGUUUGGUAAUUAUUUGCAUUUUUCUUCUGUUAAUUUUCUUAGUAUUUGUUAAGUUUAUUACUGGAGAGGUCUUUUACAUAAAAGCUACUCACAUAUUUUAGAUAGUAAUCCUCCAACUGUUAAAUGUGUUUAAAAUGUUUUAUAUUAAUCACUGCUCAUAUUUGCAUUACUUUUUGUAUUACAGAUUUUUUAUUUUUAUGAGGUUAAAUUUGAUCUUUAUUAUUAUAAUAUUUAUGCUUUAAACUUAAGUCAGAAGAAAAAGCACUGUAAGACUGGCUUUGUCCUUAACUGUUUCACCACUAUCUUUACACUGGCAUACUAACUCCUUUAGACAACUAUUAAUCUGCUUUAAAAUAACUUGUUUAUUUUUAAAUAAAAUGAAAAAAAAACCUUAUAAUUUAGUACCAUUUUAGAUUACAAAGUCAAGUCUCAGGCAAAGCAGUACUGUCUUGCAUCACUUUGUGAAGUGACAAUUCUUAUGUACCAGUUACUUUCUAAUAGGAUGAGACGAUUAGUGUGACUUGGUACUUCACUGUCAGCUUGACUUCUCUGAGCCAUACAAAACCACCGAUAAUAAUAUUUAAUGUGUAGUGUGAGUAAACUGGCAAUCUCUGAGAUUAAAUUAUUUUAGAGCAUAGCUCCAUAAUCAAAUAGCAUUUAUUGUUUAAAUUACAAAUCUUUUGCUGGCUAGAAAACUUCAUGAAUAACAAAGACCAAGUCUACUUUUAUCUGUGGAAAAUUCAUUUAGCAUUUAUUCUAAAAAUUUAUACUAUUCUUAAUCAAUUCCUUAUUUAUUAAAUAUGUCUUUAUACUUAUAAAUUAUUUCUAUAAAUGUUCUUUGGGAUUGCUCUUGUUUAGUUAAAUAAUGCUACUAAUUGCUGUUCCCUGAAGUCUCUUUAUCCCCACCUCUAUUUGUUUGCUCACAGGAUUCUCAAACUCCCUCCACCAAGAUUCACCUUUCCUCCUAGGCUCAUUUUGAAAGCACUUAUUAAUAAGCAUUCCAUGAUUCUCCUAACUGUAUAUGAUUUUUCCUUUGUAGAAAUCCUCACUGCAGAACAGUGUGGAUGUACUUAAUGACAAUGAACUGUACAUUUAAAAAUGGUUAAAAUUGUAACUUUUGACCACAAUUUUUAGAAGUUGCCAAAAAAAGUAUCUUCAUGGCACUGUGUCCUAGAGUACCAUGUUCAGUUUUGCACUAGUUAUUUGCAUACCUCUUUAUUUCCCUAUUUCUAUUGAAAAUUCCCUCAGGAAAGAGAUCAUAUAAGCCCCACUGCCAUUCAAACGGGUUUAAUUUAAUCAGAAAACUCAGAAUAACUCACUCUCUUUGAAAUAUAACAGGUAAUUCUAUAUUUGACUCACUCAAACUCUGAUGUGGUAAGAAAUAUGGAGGUAACCACUUAAUGCCUGUUUUUAUUUACAGCUUUAGUAGGUGAAAAACAACCUAUUUGUGUUACUUUUACAUACUAAAUUAGUGCUAAACUCUAUUCUCAAAGAAGAGCUUUGUUUCAGUGAAAUGUUAGGCAGAUGAAACAGAUUAUAACUAUAGGAAGGGAUCACAUCAUUCGUCAAAAUAUUCACUAACUAGCAGAGUAUGAAAGGUAUAUGAACAGAAAUGCUUUGAUUGUUAAGUUUGCAAAGAUGGAGCCUCCUCCUCCUCCCACCCCAUGAUUAAAAAUGGUUCACAUACAACAUUGAAAGAAUUCCAUGUUGGGAGUUGUUCCCAUUGUGGCUCAGUGGGUUGCAAACCCGAUUAGUACCCAGGAGGACUCAGGUCCAAUUUCUGGCCUUGCUCAGUGGUGUUGCUGUGAGCUGUGGUGUAGGUCACAGAUGUGGCUCAGAACCCAAAUGGCUAUGGCUGUAGCAUAGGCCAGCAACUGCAGCUCUGAUUCAACCCCUAUCCUGGGAAUUUCCAUAUGCCACAGGUGUGGCCCUAAAAAAAGAAAAAAAAAGAAUUCCAUUUCAAAAGACAUGAGACUAACAUAUUCAAUCCAUACUCAAGUAUAUUUAAGAUAAAGAUUUUGACAAAUAAUUGACAGCCAGAAGAAAAAUUAACAAAUCCUAUGGUGUCAAGUAACCACUUAUUUCAGAAGUUCUGCCAAUCAGGAGUUCCCACCAUGGUGCAGUGGGUUAAGAACAUAACUGCAGUGACUCAGGUAGCUGUAAAGGCAUGGAUUCAAUCCCUGGUCCAGUGCAGUGGGUUAAAGGAUUGGAUGUCACCACAGCUGCAGCACAGGUCACAGCUGCUGCCUGGGAUUCAAUCCCUAGCCCAAGAACUUGCAUGUGUCGCAGGUGCAGCCAUUAAAAGAAAAAGUUCUGCCAAUCAGUGUCUCUCGACUUAGGAAUGGAUGAUUUUGCUGCUGAUGCCCACAACGGCUGCACUGAAACAGUUGCAAAGCAUAGUAAAGAGUAUAGGUUUUACAAUUGGAAUAGUUCUGCCACUUAGUACCUAUGUGACCUUGAGCAAGUAGUUUCCUCAAUUGUAAAAAAAGGACUUGGAUUGGUCUGAAGAUUCAAUGUAAAGCACCUAAUGACAUUUCCUGCAGAGGUUUUACAUACUCCAUUAUUUCUAUUGCCUGUUAAACGUACUUUGUAAGCAUAUUACAGUGAUUAAUUUGACAAGAUUUACAAAGCUCCUAUCAUGUGGCCACUGGCUAGGUCCCAAAAGCAUAAAGACAAGAUCCAGGACACUAGCUCUGGAUCUCUGGCCACUGAAGACCUCACAACCUAGUAACAGAAAUAGAAAAACAUAUAUAAUUGCAACAUGAUAUGGUGAAUUAUAAUAGAGACAGAUAAAGUGCUAUGGAAUCAAAAAAGUAAAAAAGUUAAGUAUGUUAUGCUUCUACGCUGUCAAACCCAAUUCGUCUCUCAACAGUUUUCUGCGUUAUCACAGGCCACCUUUUAAUGAUUACCAUUUGCAACCUACCCCGACUGAUGCAACCUUAACAGGUAGAAGCCCUGCAUAGUAUUACCUAUUACUUGAAGUCCACUGCCUCCAAUGCCCCUACUAAGCUGAAGGACAACUAUGGCUUGUUUCCUCAUCUAUAAAAUGGACCCAUUUUCCUCACUGGGUUAAGUAUAAGAGUUCAUUAGGCACAUACAUAAUGGCACCAACUCAACACUUUUUGGGUUUUUCUCUGAUUCCAUUAUCUCUGGGCUUUAAGUUACCUCUGGUUGCAGUGGAUGAUCAUGUUGCUUUAAAGAGAGGGUGCAAAGUAAUCAACAGAACAAGGGUAGCAGUAAGAGGGUAGAAAUGGGAGAAGGGAUCCAGGGUUAAGAGAGGAAGAGAGAAUAAUGAAACAAAUCAAUAUGUUUACUAGCUUUCUGACCUAUCCUCACUCCCCUAACUUCUCUGUUCCCUAAAAUGACUACAGCAAGUUUAUCUUUCAGGACAACUCAUAUAUAUGAUAGGGUUUCAGAGGCAAGGGUAAUUCUCCCAGUGAUUUAAAAAACAAUAAUAAUAAUGCAAAUUUGUCCUACCAUCUUCUCAGUGCUUUUGACAAGCUCACCCUUGACUUCCAUUCCCAAAUUCUGGUUUAAAUCCAAAUUCUCUUGUAACUCCUCAAUCCACUUAGCCUCUACACUACCCUCCAGCCUGUGCUCCUAACUCUCCAGUACUGAAUUUAUCAUCAUUAAGUAGACACUUAAGUGUCCCUAAUGUUCUGCAGUUUUCUGUUUUCUGUUAUUCUCAGGAUAUGUUCUUUAUUUCAGAAACCUUAUCUUCUUCAAUGAGUUUGACAAUUCCCC
rnacentral:lncRNA from 1 species